AGAGUUUGAUCAUGGCUCAGAUUGAACGCUGGCGGCAGGCCUAACACAUGCAAGUCGAGCGGCAGCACAGAG
rnacentral:rRNA from 1 species